CCACUUUUGGGCUGGGAUAAGAAGCACACAUAGGAAUAAAAGCAUGCAUGCUUUUUUUAACAAGUUUAUUACGUACAAUAGCUCAUUGAUUCAAUUUGUGAAAUAAUAUGAUAAUCACUACAAGAGAAUCGGCUCUUAGCUGCACAAAAUUACCAGCAUUUCCAGAAAACACCGCAAAUCAAGUUAGUUGCUGCGGUUCUUGUUGCAUAAUCAGGCUCUGUUCCAAUUGAUCCGAAUUGGUGGCUAUUUUGGACCCCAACCGCAUCUAAUAACCUGGUGGGGGGAGGGGUUGUUCCAUUAAAAUACCCCUACCAAAAUAUUUCGGCGCGUUUAACCUUCCUCCUUUUGGCGCGAAUCCUAGCAGAGCAAAGGUGCCAAUCGCUAGUCUCCUUUCCCUGCCGUCAUGACUCGUCCCUUCGUCAGUUCCAGCCGCCACGUCCGUGUCAUCAUUCUUCCCCGUGACUGGUCGCCUCCCUCUGCUGUGUAGCUCCCGCGCCUGAAGGUAAAGUGAAAAGGAUCAUCCAGGCCUUCUCCUUCCUCCAUGCACAUCUGUGACGUCGUCAGUGGACACCCUAACCAUCCAUCCCGGUGUCUUCGUCGGUUGCCCUCCCCUUGCCCUUGCCCUAUUUGUAGGAGAGUUAACACACAGUUCUCCUCUUUAUAUGUCCAUCUCUAAGUUUUCCCUAUUUCAAUUCCAUUAUGAAAAUAAACAGCUUUAUUUUUAGUGAUUAAACAGAGCAUAUUUUGCCGUCGGAUAAACAUAAGAUAGAGAAAGAACAAAAUACUUAGCUUCGAAGUCAAGUUGCUCAACUGUUAGAGUUAGAACAAGAUCAGAAAUUGCAGAUACAAUAGCAAGAUUCAACAAUCCAAACUUUGCAGGUUUGUCAUAUAUAAUUCUAAUAUG